AACGUAGGAAGCGAGCGUUAUCCGGAUUUACUGGGCGUAAAGCGUGUGUAGGCGGUUUGACAAGUUGGAUGUGAAAGCUCCUGGCUUAACUGGGAGAGGUCGUUCAAAACUGUCAGACUCGAGAGUGGUAGAGGGAGGUGGAAUUCCGGGUGUAGUGGUGAAAUGCGUAGAUAUCCGGAGGAACACCAGUGGCGAAAGCGGCCUCCUGGCCCAUUUCUGACGCUCAGACACGAAAGCUAAGGUAGCAAACGGGAUUAGAAACCCGUGUAGU
rnacentral:rRNA from 1 species